GACGAACGCUGGCGGCGUGCUUAACACAUGCAAGUCGAACGGAAAGGCCCUGCUUUUGUGGGGUGCUCGAGUGGCGAACGGGUGAGUAACACGUGAGUAACCUGCCCUUGACUUUGGGAUAACUUCAGGAAACUGGGGCUAAUACCGGAUAGGAGCUCCUGCUGCAUGGUGGGGGUUGGAAAGUUUCGGCGGUUGGGGAUGGACUCGCGGCUUAUCAGCUUGUUGGUGGGGUAGUGGCUUACCAAGGCUUUGACGGGUAGCCGGCCUGAGAGGGUGACCGGACACAUUGGGACUGAGAUACGGCCCAGACUCCUACGGGAGGCAGCAGUGGGGAAUAUCGCACAAUGGGCGGAAGCCUGAUGCAGCAACGCCGCGUGCGGGAUGACGGCCUUCGGGUUGUAAACCGCUUUCGCCUGUGACGAAGCGUGAGUGACGGUAAUGGGUAAAGAAGCACCGGCUAACUACGUG
rnacentral:rRNA from 1 species